rnacentral:rRNA from 1 species
CCUACGGGCGGCUGCAGUGGGGAAUAUUGGGCAAUGGGGGGAACCCUGAUCCAGCCAUGCCGCGUGUGUGAAGAAGGCCCUCGGGUUGUAAAGCACUUUCAGUGAGGAAGAACGCCUGGUGGUUAAUACCCAUCAGGAAAGACAUCACUCACAGAAGAAGCACCGGCUAACUCCGUGCCAGCAGCCGCGGUAAUACGGAGGGUGCGAGCGUUAAUCGGAAUUACUGGGCGUAAAGCGCGCGUAGGUGGCUUGAUAAGCCGGUUGUGAAAGCCCCGGGCUCAACCUGGGAACGGCAUCCGGAACUGUCAAGCUAGAGUGCAGGAGAGGAAGGUAGAAUUCCCGGUGUAGCGGUGAAAUGCGUAGAGAUCAGGAGGAAUACCAGUGGCGAAGGCGGCCUUCUGGACUGACACUGACACUGAGGUGCGAAAGCGUGGGUAGCAAACAGGAUUAGAUACCCGUGUAGUC